rnacentral:rRNA from 1 species
AUGGAUUUAAAUCCCCAGAUUCUGUGUUUGAACGUGCGAGGCCUUAACAACCCGGCUAAGCGUUCGGCGGUUAGGGAGUUUGUGCAGGCAGCCAAAGUUAAUUUGGUUUUCCUGCAGGAGACUAAGUUGGAGACUGUUAACCACUUUGAUGUUAUGCAAUGUUUAGGUCCGUCCUUCGACGGCUAUGAUUACUUGCCGGCUUGUGAGACGAGGGGAGGGAUCCUGUUGGCGUGA